rnacentral:lncRNA from 1 species
CAGACGCCCAGGGGGGCGGAGGGAUGUGCCCGAGGACACACAGCACUGAGGAGCUGGGCUCCCCUUGGGCAGGGAGGACUCCAAGGCCAUCUCCUCCUGCCUGACCAGCACCCAGGGACGGGCAAUAGGGGGACAGAGCACGUCUACAGCAGAGGCGGGGGAACCCAGGUCCAGGCUGACCGUCCAGUGGUGUGCAGCGGUCAGCCCAGGCUCGGGGUCCCCUCGCAGGGCAGCCUGUCCGCAGGAUCUGCUGGGGCCUCGGGCCCAGGUGGGGCGCACCCACCGACACUUGGUGUCUCUCUGCAGAGGCGAAGAUGCUAGAUCUGGAGGGUUCUGGCAAGCUCACCAUCCUCCGAGGCUGCCCGGGGCUGCCAGGGGCCGUGGGGUCCAAGGGAGACGCAGGCGUCGAUGGAGCGAGAGUUUGCAGGAGCACCUGGUCCCCCUGGAGACCCUGGGAAGGCCAGACCACCAGGACCCAAACAAAGGUUUUCCAGUGAAGGACCGACAGCUCCGUGAACUUCUGCAAUUGGGCCUCCUGCAAGCAGGGCUCCGGCAGUCAGCUGGGGGAAUUCUGGCUGGGGAAUGAGAACAUCCACACACUGACCACCCAGGGUAGGGCCCGUCACCCCCUGCCCUGACCUCAGCCUGGGCCCUGGAUCGAGGCCCUUGUCCCUCGUCCUGCGGGUGCU